CAAGAAGAAGAGGAGGAGGAGGAGGAGGGGGAGGAGGAGGAGGAGGAGGAAGAAGGAGGAGGAGAAGAAAAACAUUGCAAGGGUGCAUGUGGAAUAACAGAAUAUUUGCCAAGAGUUGGCCAGACACGAUAGUGGACGGAAUCAAGCACGUCUUCCAUCUGCUGCCUGCAUUUGCUGUCUGUAUUUACCCUGCAUAUUACCUGAGCAGAAAAGAGAGACUUGCUUCCACAGACAUCAGCUCUACCAGACCCUGAAUGUUCAGCCACAUGUGGAGCAGUUCCCUCUGAAAGAAAUUCAGAAACUCGCCUAGUGAGUCCUACACACUGGGAAAAAGAAAAUACAUAUUGAAACAGGUAGGAAAGGCUGAGACACACUCUUGGCAUACACCCCAUCCCUGACACAGUGACAUAUGGUUGGGAGGGAACCCCCAUUUCCUAGCUUCUUACUGAGGAGCAAAAAGUUUGGGCUUACUUCUAGUGCCUCACUUUUAAGCUCCCAUUGUAAGGA